ACUGACAUGGCUGACUGGCUUGAGUGUGAAUAAUCUUUAAAAGCUGUUCAUGUAGUAAUGAAUUAUUGUCAAAGAGAACACACUUGCUCCAAAUGGCUCUGGUUAAACACACAUCUUCCUCUUGGGUGAGUUUAUGGCCUCAAUCUCUGCUUCCAGGUCUUCAUCCAUACAACAUGAUGUUCGUUUCGUAUAUUUGCUUUAGGGUGGGGCUUACUGGGAUUGACAGGUCACUGUCGCUUAAAUGCGGUGUCUCUACGUGACUCCUCCGCAGUCCGAGUGUGUGUGUGCAGAAAAUCGGCAUCACAAAUUGAGUUGAAACGCCGACAUUCUCCAUCCGGUCCAUCUUCUAACCCCUUAGAGCUUUCAGUCGGUGAAUGCAGUGAAAGGGCGUCGGGACGGCCAGGCUGUGAAUGCUCCGCUCCCCCGCUGUGUUGACGCAUACGUUAACCGCAACGCACAAUAACACAAAAAAUGUGGUUGUCCACUCCCCCGAGUGCGUCUCUUGUGCGUGUCCCCUUCCCGCUCUGCCCGUGAGUGUGUGUGUGUGUGUGUGGGAAUCGGCACAGGACCCUUAGUCACAGGUCAGGGGAUCUAAGGUUACUAAUAGCCCACACCGAUAGACUCGGGAUCCCCAUCUUGCCCUUUAUGGCGCUCUUCCCUGCGGCCGGAGGAGAAUGCCCGCACCCCCCUCCCCCCCUCACCUCCUCUUCCUCCCCCAGGUGGGGAGCGCGGCCAUUGCCAGCCCCGUCCCGAGAGGACGUAACAGGAGGCUUAUCGGAGCGCCGGGCUGUGCUGUAAUACUCCUGUGAAAGGUCUUUCGGGCCACCUCCCAAUAUUGAUUUUUCUGGGCAGGAGGGAAAUGGAGAUGGGCCCCCCUCAGAGGCCCCGUGCUAGGGAGGAGGAGCAGGAGGAGACAGGUAGAGAUAGGAGUUUACGUGUGUGAGACACAGGCGUACUAUUUAGGCCGCUGUCCUCGGUUUUCCCUCCUCGACCUUCGGUGCCUCUUUGUUGCCAAAACCAAACAAGACGGCGGAGUGUUUCUUGACCGCGCGAGUCAACUCGAUUAAUUCGACGUCUGCCGACCCCGAGCGACGGAAAAAAACAACAAACCUUUUCUGCCAAUUGAUGCAAUGAAUGUGGACCUUUCUGAACUAAAAACACGUUUCAUUUUAACCGGGUGUCAAAACAUUGUGAAAUGAUUGUUUCGGACAAACUUUGUGAAAUGAUUGUGUUCAGAAAUCCUCAUGGUUUGUGUUCAAACGGUAACGUAUCAGCUGUAACUUUGUUGCGGGCCUAAUUGAAUAGCAGCCGCCUUCAAUACCUACCUCCUUGUGUUUCACCAUCAUGUGGGUUUCACGCUGAUUGCACCACAUUAUCGGCUCACGUACA
ensembl:lncRNA